rnacentral:rRNA from 1 species
CCUACGGGUGGCUGCAGUGGGGAAUAUUGCACAAUGGGCGCAAGCCUGAUGCAGCCAUGCCGCGUGUGUGAAGAAGGCCUUCGGGUUGUAAAGCACUUUCAGCGGGGAGGAAGGCGUUAAGGUUAAUAACCUUGUCGAUUGACGUUACCCGCAGAAGAAGCACCGGCUAACUCCGUGCCAGCAGCCGCGGUAAUACGGAGGGUGCAAGCGUUAAUCGGAAUUACUGGGCGUAAAGCGCACGCAGGCGGUCUGUCAAGUCGGAUGUGAAAUCCCCGGGCUCAACCUGGGAACUGCAUUCGAAACUGGCAGGCUAGUGUCUUGUAGAGGGGGGUAGAAUUCCAGGUGUAGCGGUGAAAUGCGUAGAGAUCUGGAGGAAUACCGGUGGCGAAGGCGGCCCCCUGGACAAAGACUGACGCUCAGGUGCGAAAGCGUGGGGAGCAAACAGGAUUAGAUACCCGAGUAGUC